rnacentral:rRNA from 1 species
UACGAAGGGGGCUAGCGUUGCUCGGAAUCACUGGGCGUAAAGCGCACGUAGGCGGCUUUUUAAGUCAGGGGUGAAAUCCUGGAGCUCAACUCCAGAACUGCCUUUGAUACUGAGAAGCUUGAGUCCGGGAGAGGUGAGUGGAACUGCGAGUGUAGAGGUGAAAUUCGUAGAUAUUCGCAAGAACACCAGUGGCGAAGGCGGCUCACUGGCCCGGAACUGACGCUGAGGUGCGAAAGCGUGGGGAGCAAACAGG